AUAUGCACCACCUGGGAAUCUUACUGAAAACACAGAUCCUGGUUCUCUGGCCAAGAGGUGGGGACAGAGAGUCUGCAUUUCUAACAAGAUCCCUGCUGGUCUGCAG
rnacentral:miRNA from 1 species